UAGGGGCGGGGAUUGUCGAUCUGGGAUCUGGACUGAAGUCUUAGCCGGUGGCCACAUUGCCGGGGAGGGGAUUUGGGAGGCACGGAGCCAAGGGGGGGAGCGAGUCAAGGCCGGCCAAGGAGGUCACGCACAGCGCUGGGAGUCGAAGCCGUCCCCAGUGAUGGAAGAAGAGAUGAUUCUUAUCACUGGAGAUGGCACGGACUUGAGCCUGCAUAAACAAAUCUUACUACACAACCCUUAUCUUUGAUAAACUUCCCCCAUAUAUCUACCUUCCUACAAUUUAUGACUUCUAGAAGCCCAAUCCCCUUUUCCUUUGUCUUGUCUCUGGUCCACAAUGUCACCCUUUGUUAAAAUGGCUUAUAAGCUCUCAAGCCUAAAUGUUUCUUUGGGUUUUCACAUCUUUUCUGUGAGGCCCCAUGUACAUGCAUAAUAAAUCUUUUCUGUUAA